GUGUAUUCUUGUUAAAUUUUAAAGACACUGGUGAAGACCUUCGAAGUGUGCGAUCUUCCUGUUCGAGCUGCAAAGUUUGUUGCAAGGAAGAACUGGGUGGUGACAGGAGCAGAUGAUAUGCAGAUUAGGGUGUUCAAUUACAACACCCUAGAGAGAGUUCAUAUGUUUGAGGCACACUCCGACUACAUUCGCUGUAUUGCUGUGCAUCCAACCCAGCCAUUCAUUCUGACGAGCAGUGAUGACAUGCUUAUUAAACUCUG